GCAAAUAUCUGAAAUCUCGACUUUUCUAUUUGUCCCACUGAAUGCCACAAGCUUAAAGUGACGUCGAACUUCUGCUCUGGAUGUACGAGUAAUGUUCUCAGUGCAGCAGUGUUAAUACGAUAGAUCUGAUGUUAUGAAGAUGCUGGUUAUUUUCUUCGGCUUCUUCGUGGCUGUCUGUUGCGCAAAAACGAAACACCACAAAUGUGACUUAGCUGAUAAAACUACCUCAGAGGAAUUCGAGAUCAUCAGAGCCAUAAAAGCAGAAAGUAAUACCAAUCCUUUCGGGGACAAUGCUUUGCAGGAACUUCUUUAUAAUGCAAUCCUCGGGUUCAUAAUAAUAUGCACAACAGUCGUCAUAACAAGUGGAUUUUGUUUGAUGGUAUUUACGGUCUGGCAGAUGUACCUUGAAGUUCAAAUGCACAAGUACUUCCUUACUGAACCUCGAUAUUAUUCAAGUCCAGUGUUUAAAAUCUAAUUUAUGCAAACUAACGACGGUAAUAAAUCUUUUCAUGCGCUUAGAGACUGUUCUGAUAUUAGACAUUAUACGAACCUGGAUUUUUACACAAAAUUACAUAAGAUGCCAUAACAGAUGAUUAAAAGAUUCUGUCUUUGAUAGAUUCAAGCUCUGCCAAAUUUAUUCAAGAAAUGGAGCGAUCGCUAAAUUUUCUCGAAUCCUAUUAGAGAUCAGCAUUUUGAGUUCCUCGAAUCUCUCGAAACUUCUCGAAAAUCACAUUUCUCGAAUCUUUCAAAUGACAAAAAUAAUAAAAAAAUAUUUUUAAUAAAAACAAAAUUUGAAAUCUCAAA